rnacentral:rRNA from 1 species
AGUGGCAAACGGGUGAGUAACGCGUAAGCAACCUGCCCUUCAGAUGGGGACAACAGCUGGAAACGGCUGCUGAUACCGAAUACGUUCUUUUUGUCGCAUGGCAGAGGGAAGAAAGGGAGGCUCUUAGGAGCUUUCGCUGAAGGAGGGGCUUGUGUCUGAUUAGCUAGUUGGAGGGGUAACGGCCCACCAAGGCGACGAUCAGUAGCCGGUCUGAGAGGAUGAACGGCCACAUUGGGACUGAGACACGGCCCAGACCCCUACGGGAGGCAGCAGUGGGGAAUCUUCCGCAAUGGACGAAAGUCUGACGGAGCAACGCCGCGUGAACGAUGACGGCCUUCGGGUUGUAAGGUUCUGUUAUACGGGACGAAUGGCGUAGCGGUCAAUACCCGUUACGAGUGACGGUACCGUAAGAGAAAGCCACGGCUAACUACGUGCCAGCAGCCGCGGUAAUACGUAGGUGGCAAGCGUUGUCCGGAAUUAUUGGGCGUAAAGGGCGCGCAGGCGGCGUCGUAGGUCGGUCUUAAAAGUGCGGGGCUUAACCCCGUGAGGGGACCGAAACUGCGAUGCUAGAGUAUCGGAGAGGAAAGCGGAAUUCCUAGUGUAGCGGUGAAAUGCGUAGAUAUUAGGAGGAACACCAGUGGCGAAGGCGGCUGUCUGGUCUGCAACUGACGCUGAGGCUCGAAAGCAUGGGUAGCGAACAGGAUUAGAUACCCUGGUAGUCCAUGCCGUAAACGAUGAGUGCUAGGUGU